GUGUCAUAAGAAAGACUGGUUGCAGGACAAGUGUCUGGAGAAAGCAUUAUUUGUAAUGCAAGUCUGGGAGAAGAGAAUAAUAGCCAAUGUGGAAAAGACAUAAAUCACCAUCUGGUUCCUCCUUUCAGAUUCCUCAUGGAAAAAAAGACUAAAGCUUCCAGAGGAACGGCAACAAAAACGAUCAUCCUUGGACCAUAGAUAAAAACCCAUUAAGGCUAAAGGAAGAGAACCUGAAAAACACCCUCUACUCCUGAGAUAAGGGCAGAAAUACAUUUUGAGCCCACGUCGUAAGAGUUUCCUACAGCUUGAUGAGGGACAGGAUCACUGAAAAGUCCCCAUUCCUGAGAACCAGAACACAACUCCUGAUUUUUCGUCUCUACACCGGAAGAACAAAACGAAAUUCAAAUCUCCUAACCUAGAUUCAAUGAACAUGCUUCUAAGAAGCUACUCCAUUUUGGAAGAACAACAGAUAUUAUCACCACUGAAAGAAAAGAUCGUUUGGAUUUGACCGAACGUUCUGUGUCUCAAUACCCAUCAUAAGGGGAAGAAGAUUCUACUACAGCUACAAAAUUCAGCCUUUGGGGUGCUGCUUUGUUGGAGGUUAUACCAAGAUACUCACUCAUUUCCUGGAAGGAUCCCUAAAUACAGAAAGCUAGACGGCUUUUAAGUUUUUCUAAACUCGGUAGAUUAAACAGCCACUCAACUGAUUCUUUGGAGCAGCUAUUAUGGAAAUUAAAAUGCCCUUUUAAAAACCAGAUAAGUCCCUACUAGAGCUACGUUUCAUCCCCUAUGCCAUCUUGCUUCUCUAUGCAUACACACACACACACACACACACAAAAGAAGCUUAUGGAUAAUGUUCAUUGCACUGGGAAUAUCCAAAGCAAUGAAUGGCUUUUAGAGUUGAUUAAAUGCUAAAGUGAAGCUUUUUGAUAACCAUGAGAGCUGACUAUUGUAAGUGUACUCCAGUGUCAUGAAUAUUACUGCUAAUACAUGAUAAGAUUUUUAAGGACAUAAUAAAGUGUAAUAAAGAAUAGAUCACUUUCUUCCCUUUUGAGGUCUGGAAAGAGCUAUCUUCUUUUCCUUGGGCCUUUACGAUUGAUGGCAAAAGGGAAGUCCUUUUAAAGUGAGUGACUUGGUCAGGGAGGUUACAUAAUGAGAUUAAUAGCUUAAAGGAAUGGACUGUGUAACAGGCCGUGAUGAGAUUAAAGAUAUUUUAAUAUCAAAAAGGGCUUUGUGGCUUGUUAAAGAGAAUACAAUUUAGCAUUUGAGUGCUGAGACUGACAGAAACUUUUGUUGAUUAAUAAGAAUGUAUGCCUCUUGCUGUACAUUACUUAGCCGGGGAAAUUGUGAGAACAGUACUUUAUAGUACUGACAGUGCACUAAAAUAAAAAUGCAAUAACUAGAAGGUGGAGUUAUUAGAGUGAAAUGAACUAUUGCACUUUGAACAAAUGUUUCAAAUUAUAUUUCAGUUAUUUGGUUCUUUAAAAAUUCAACUGCAUUUAUUAAAAAGUUAAUUCUAUAUAUUUAAACAAAUAUGUAUUGAAAGAUAUUGGGUUUACAAUAGCAAUGGGUUAUUUUUAAAAAUUGGGUAAUAAGCUA
rnacentral:lncRNA from 1 species